rnacentral:misc_RNA from 1 species
AAAGUCGUAACAAGGUAACCGUAGGUGAACCUGCGGUUGGAUCAUUAUUGAAUCUUAACUAUGAGGGGUUGCCCGCAAGGGCAAGUCCUCUAUAACAUACUAGUGAACUGUUAGUGAAUGAGGGUAACCUCAACCAUAAACUUAAAGACCUUUCUUAAGGAUUUAGACCUCUAGCAAUAGAGCGACAUUGACUAUAUAAAGAAAAACAACUUUUGACAACGGAUCUCUUGGCUCUC